rnacentral:rRNA from 1 species
GGCCAAGUUGUUAAGCGCACACGGUGGAUGCCUUGGCGGUCAGAGGCGAUGAAGGACGUGGCAGCCUGCGAAAAGUAUCGGGGAGCUGGCAACAAGCUUUGAUCCGGUAAUGUCCGAAUGGGGAAACCCACCCGCUUGCGGGUAUCCUGCAGUGAAUACAUAGCUGCUGGAAGCGAACCUGGUGAACUGAAAUAUCUAAGUAACCAGAGGAAAAGAAAUCAACCGAGAUUCCGUAAGUAGCGACGAGCGAACGCGGACUAGCCCUUAAGCUGAUUUGGUUCUAGGAAAACACUCUGGAAAGAGUGGCCAUAGAAGGUGAUAGCCCUGUAUCUGAAAGGGCCAUUUCAGUGAAGACGAGUAGGGCGGGGCACGUGAAACCCUGUCUGAACAUGGG